rnacentral:rRNA from 1 species
UACGGGGGGAGCAAGCGUUGUUCGGAUUUACUGGGCGUAAAGGGCGCGUAGGCGGCCACCGCAAGUCGGUUGUGAAAUCUCUGGGCUUAACCCAGAAAGGUCAACCGAUACUGUGCGGCUAGAGUGCGGAAGGGGCAACUGGAAUUCUCGGUGUAGCGGUGAAAUGCGUAGAUAUCGAGAGGAACACCUGCGGCGAAGGCGGGUUGCUGGGCCGACACUGACGCUGAUGCGCGAAAGCCAGGGGAGCGAACGGG